rnacentral:rRNA from 1 species
AGUAAUGUAUGGGGAUCUGCCUGAUGGCGGGGGAUAACUACUGGAAACGGUAGCUAAUACCGCAUAAUGUCUACGGACCAAAGCGGGGGACCUUCGGGCCUCGCGCCAUCAGAUGAACCCAUAUGGGAUUAGCUGGUAGGUGAGGUAACGGCUCACCUAGGCGACGAUCCCUAGCUGGUCUGAGAGGAUGAUCAGCCACACUGGGACUGAGACACGGCCCAG